CGAACGCUGGCGGCGUGCUUUACACAUGCAAGUCGAGCGAUGAGAUCCCUUCGGGGAAGGAUUAGCGGCGAACGGGUGAGGAACACGUGAGGAAUCUGCCUUCAACACUGGGAUAACUCCGGGAAACCGGGGCUAAUACCGGAUACGAGACCUGCAGGCAUCUGCGGGUCUGGAAAGUUUUUCGGUUGAAGAUGACCUCGCGGCCUAUCAGCUUGUUGGUGAGGUAAUGGCUCACCAAGGCGACGACGGGUAGCCGGCCUGAGAGGGCGACCGGCCACACUGGGACUGAGACACGGCCCAGACUCCUACGGGAGGCAGCAGUGGGGAAUAUUGGGCAAUGGAGGGAACUCUGACCCAGCGACGCCGCGUGCGGGAUGAAGGCCUCGGUGUAACCGCUUUCAGCAGGAAGAAGCGAAAGUGACGGUACUUGCAGAGAAGCACCGGCUAACUAUGUGCCAGCAGCCGCGGUAAGUCUGAUGGCGCGAGG
rnacentral:rRNA from 1 species